UACGUAGGUGGCAAGCGUUGUCCGGAUUUACUGGGCGUAAAGGGCGUGCAGGCGGUUUGUUAAGUUCAGGGUGAAAGCUCCCGGCUCAACUGGGAGAGGUCCUUGGAUACUGGCAGACUUGAGGAGGGUAGAGGAGAGUGGAAUUCCCGGUGUAGUGGUGAUAUGCGUAGAUAUCGGGAGGAACACCAGUGGCGAAGGCGGCCUUCUGGACCAAUACUGACACUAAAGCGCGAAAGCGUGGGGAGCAAACAGG
rnacentral:rRNA from 1 species